UGAAUACGAGACGCUAAGGCGUCGAAGUAGUGUAUGUCAUACUUCCAAGAAAAGCUUGCACUGUCAUAAGUAAAAAAUGCCUGUACCAUAACCGACACAGGUGGGUAGGUAGAGUAUACUAAGGGGCGCGAGAUAACUCUCUCUAAGGAACUCGGCAAAAUAACUCCGUAACUUCGGGAGAAGGAGUACCUUAUUCUAUAAGGUUGCAAUAACAAGAUCCAAGCAACUGUUUAUCAAAAACACAGGUCUCCGCUAAGUCGUAAGACGAUGUAUGGGGGCUGACGCCUGCCCAGUGCCAGAAGGUUAAAGAAGUCGGUUAGCAUUAGCGAAGCUGGUAACUGAAGCCCUGGUGAACGGCGGCCGUAACAAUAACGGUCCUAAGGUAGCGAAAUUCCUUGUCGGGUAAGUUCCGACCCGCACGAAAGGCGUAAUGAUUUGGAUACUGUCUCGGAGAGGGGCUCGGUGAAAUAGACUUGUCUGUGAAGAUGCGGACUACCUGCACCAGGACAGAAAGACCCUAUGAAGCUUUACUGUAACUUGAAAUUGAAAUUGGACUUUAUUCGCGCAGUAUAGGUGGGAGGUGUUGAUUAUAAUCUUGCGGGAUUAUUGGAGCCAUCAGUGAGAUACCACUCUUGUAAUGUUAGAUUUCUAACUUUGAAUCAUUAUCUGGUCAAAGGACAGUUUCAGGCGGGCAGUUUGACUGGGGCGGUCGCCUCCCAAACGGUAACGGAGGCGUACAAAGGUUUCCUCUGAACGGGUAGAAAUCGUAUCUAGAGUGUAAAGGCAUAAGGAAGCUUGACUGUGAGACCUACAAGUCGAACAGGGACGAAAGUCGGUCUUAGUGAUCUGACGGUACUGAGUGGAAAGGCCGUCACUCAACGGAUAGAAGUUACUCUAGGAUAACAGGCUGAUCUCCCCCAAGAGUUCACAUCGACGGGGAGGUUUGGCACCUCGAUGUCGGCUCAUCGCAUCCUGGGGCGGUAGUACGUCCCAAGGGUUGGGCUGUUCGCCCAUGAAAGCGGUACGCGAGCUGGGUUCAGAACGUCGUGAGACAGUUCGGUCCAUAUCCGGUGUAGGCGUUAGAAUAUUGAGAGGAGCCUUCUUUAGUACGAGAGGACCGAGAAGGACAUACCUCUGGUGUACCAGUUAUCGUGCCAACGGUAAACGCUGGGUAGCUAUGUAUGGAGUGGAUAACCGCUGAAAGCAUCUAAGUGGGAAGCCCACCUCAAGAUAAGUAUUCUCAUC
rnacentral:rRNA from 1 species